GGCCUUGUAGUCUAGAGGUACGAUACUUGCUUUGGGAAUCCAUUCGGAUACAAUUGCAAGUGGCCUGGGUUCGAUUCCCAGCAAGGCCC